GCAGCGGUAGUUCAGUUGGUUAGAAUACCGGCCUGUCACGCCGGGGGUCGCGGGUUCGAGCCCCG
rnacentral:tRNA from 9 species